GUUGGUGGUAGUGGCACAUCAGCGAUAUUUCAACGUGUGUCGGAUGAGUACAACCACGACGGCGACCAGCGACGGUAGUGGUGGUCAUGGUGACGACGAUGGUGAUAGGGACAGUAACUGUAAUAGUGGCGGGUGGUAGUAGCAAAGAAGAGGCCAGGUGGGCCUGCAGAUUUAUGGGGUCCAGAAAGGGUUGAGGGUCCGAAAAGUGCGUUUUUCACUCGGCCGUGAGCUACCGACGUUGUUAUACGCCGCAGUGUAGAGGAGGCUUCGUGAGUUCUCGUUGCUGCUGCAUUACUGUACCCGUCGCUGUUCCUUCCGCCAUUGUUGCUACCGCCGGCUGCCAGCCGUUUGCUCGUCGCACGGGAGAUAGUUGAUGGAAGUGACGACGGUGGAAGUGGUGCCUAGUUUCAAGGUUGCCACCUCGGACUCGUGAGUCUCGCACGCGCGUUACACACGUUAACAAGACACACGCGUUUCGCGUCUAAUUUGACUCAACGCUCGCAAAAAACGGCCGAUAUUCAUGUACUCUCAGGCUCAAGUAGAAAUUUAGUAAGACAUUAAUUAAGACGUUAAUUCAAAAUGUGAUUUUAAAAACUAACCUAAACGAGAUAGGGAAAGUGGAGGCAUUUGUAUCUAACAAUAAGAGAAUCUACAAGGUAAGAUCAAUUCCAAAUUGAAUAAAUGUAGAAAAUUGAUUCAUCAUGUACUGGCGUCAAAUAAUUCUUCACGUCAUCCAAACUGAAUGUUCGGUAUUCGGUAUUCAAUAACGUUUAUCAGCGUCGCCGAUAAAAUUGUCCCCUACGGAACAUUCAUAAACCGAAAUAAACAUUUCUGCGGGUUUUUGCAUCAACUGUACUUCUCUAAUGGAUAAGCUUUGCCAUCCUGCAUCAAGUAUUGCAAAAUCUCGCUCCGGAAAUAUGACUAUGGAUUAUGCGUACUUAGCAUAACAUUUAUGAUCGUUUUUCGUUACGUAUACGCACGCGGCUGGAAAAAAAAUACGCACGUGCGGCAGAUUGGAUCGAUAAUUAUAAUCAGGCACGGCGAGCGAAAGGAUUCUCGGGCGUCCUGGUGCGCGGCACUUUUUGUCGCUUAAUGAAAGGCGGUAACGCCUCUUCGCGGAAAGAUACGAGUCGAUUCUAAAAUAGGAACGAGGUUGCACGGGCGUGUGCACUUGUCAUUAGCAUCGAUAGAUGCUUAUUUGCGCGCCUCGUCGGGAAACGAGAGUUCCACGGGCGCUUCGAGGACUAAAAAUUCAGCGUCAAUCCGUAAUCAGCGAUCGAGCGAUCCCAGAACAAUUUCGCUUGCAAAUACAUAGCGAUUGCUACGAGUCAAACGUUUUGCCGAGGGUACAGAGGGAAGUGCGUUCUAUCAAAGCGAGAGGUCAUCAAACCUCAAACCAAGAGUCGCCAUCGCUGCGCAAGGAGUCCGACUCACUGAUGCUCUUUUUCAGAAAGUGAAAAUGGAUAUGAUCGAGCAGUCUCGAACAUCUAUUUAUGCAUAUAUAUUUGCGCUUGCAAAAUAUCAGCGCGCCCGAGAUCGUUCGCCAAGCGAGCGUGCGUGACUUUUAGGUUGGCAAAUGUAUCUCCGUUCGCUUCUCCGCGCGACGUCGAGAAGGAUGCUAACAAAGUCCCUUUUCCGCCGCCGAGAAGUAGCCAUUCUUACGCCUGCCUCGCUCAAGAAUUUCCUCACGCCCCAGUUUGGGGUCCGAUGUCUCAGACAAUUGAAAACGUGUGAAACUAGUUGCGCAAGCUGACAUCGUUAUGCGGUUUUAUUAGCGGAGGAAAAGACGUCGCCGGGGCGUGAGCGUACCUCGCGCGUCUUAUCGUGGAUCUCCUCUUAUUUCAGUCAAUAAAGACUCAUCCGCUAAUCAUGCGUUACCAAGAUUUUAAUUACCCCGGGGUGUCCCGUUUGCGCGCGGGUGACACGUGUCACCCGCGCAUCGCGGCCUCGUCACUAUCUUUCGUUUGACGAUUUUAUCGGCGAUCCGCCGUUUGCGACGCGCCGCGGCGGAUCAGCCGGCGAUCGCAUCGUGCACGCGUAUCGAUACAUGGAAGAAAAUACGAUUGUGCUAUCAUCGCGGGGAACGAAGCAAUAGAGUGUAGUUAAUGGCUCCGGCUGAUGUCACGCGGUAACCUUCUACUUUGCACGUACAGUAGUUCACAGAAAUACGCUCGCGAGUGCGACACGCGCGCUCUCUCACUCGUCGAAAUACAAUCGGGAUCGGAGUCCGCGAGAAUUUUCGCUCCGGGAGACGGCGGUUCGCGCGAUCAUAAACGCGCGUUGCAUAAAGUGACAACCUUGGGGAAAUGCGACGGAAUUCUACGUAAAAGAGAUGAUUAAACAUUUUUCUCAAUUAGUUGCUCUCUUAAUUGCUCUACAAGACUUUCGGUGGAUGUUCCGUCUAAGGCAGUAUUCCUUAAAGUACAAUUUUACUUCAAGCGACCCGAUCACGUCUUCAGUUGAUGUACAAAAAAUUGGCUCUUAAAGCAAAAAUAUAGAAAAUAUCAUUGAAGUAAAAUUAACUUCAUUAAAUUAAUUUGUUUAAUUAACCUUCUGACAUUCUCCCUCCCUUUGAUUUUCAUACCUCGCCUUAUUAGCGAGUUAAUCAGGCAGGUAUUUUUGAAAGGCCGACCCGCGCUUGGAACAAAACUGGCACAAAAUGAGCAGUUUGAAUCGUCGACUAAUGCGACAAUUAGCCUCAACGCGGAUCGGUAUAAUUUUAAGGAACGCUGCGUUAUUACCGAUGCGAUUCAGUGAAAGGCGAAUUGAAUGCGCGACCGCGAAGGUUUUCGCGAAACGACGCGCUCGACGUGCAUGCUGACGGGGCACGGAUCGUGGCGGAUCUGCACCUUGGCGACGAAUGAUAAGGUCUCUUUUCCACGUACGUGACCAGAUAAUAAGCCGAGAGACCUCGACUUUCCAAAGAAGAAUACGUGCGCGCACACGCCUCGCCGUAAGAAAAUAGGAAAAAAAACAACGGCGGGAUUGCAUAAGAGAUCGUCUUUCUGAAACGACAGCUCGUGUCGCCGAUGGAAACGGUUAGAGACGUUGACGCAAUCGUCAUUCAGGAUGAGACGAGACGCGCGAAAACAAAUAGCGAAGUAUCAUAGAAUUUGAAUUAGCGGCCGAAUUGAAAUCGACUUCCACUUUCUCCAUUUUGAAAUAUACAAUUAACUUAUCCUUAUCAAUUUUUUUUACCCAAGUCAAACUGACUUCUAAUGUCCAUUUCUACCAAUGUAGAUUAAUUUUGAUCUCGGUUUAACUUUCUU